rnacentral:lncRNA from 11 species
UUCCCCAUUGGAAUGACUUGAGGAGGAAAAAGAGGGUGCCAGGAAGCCUCAGGGAAUUGGGGUGCUGGCCCUUUAAGAAGAUAAUUCUGAGUCAGGAAGCCUCAGGAAAUGGGGGACCUGGCCCUUUAAGAAGGUAAUUCUAAGGAAAGGUCAGGAAAUGAGGUGCUGGCCCUUUAAGAAGGUAAUUCUGAGUCAGGAAGCCUCAGGAAAUUGGGGUGCUGGCCCUUUAAGAAGGCCAAGGAGACAGGGAAGGGGGCAUACACACAAGGGGAGGCUUGGUUACAGAGUUCUUCUCGCCAAGUUUUUUAUUUAUUGAAAGACAUACAUUGGAUGACUAUGUCUUUUGUGGCCAAAUUUGGUGUGAUUUGGUUCAGUGGUUUUGUUGUUUACUCCAUGGGAAAAACGCACAUUGCAUUUUUAUAUAUAUAGACUAGCUGUGCCCGGCCACGCGUUGCUGUGGCUUUUUUUUGGUGGUUCCGUGUCUUAGAGGGGGGGGAUCCUUUGUUGGGAGGUGUUAGGUGGCCCUGAUUGUUUCCUGGAUGGAAUUCCUUUGUUUUCAGAGUGUUGCUCUUUAUUUUGUGUUUUGAGAUGAGAGAGUGAUGAGUACCGAAUGGGUUUGGACCUUCAAAGAGUGGUGUUUCCCUGUUUGAGGGGGGGGGGGGGGAGGAAUCCUUUGUUGAGCAUAAGAACGUAGAGAUGUGGAUGAGGGGUUGUGUUGUCAAUUUUCUAGGUUGGGGGGCCUUUAGUUUUGUUGUUUUGCC